GUGGGGAAUAUUCCGCAAUGGACGAAAGUCUGACGGAGCAACGCCGCGUGAGUGAUGAAGGUUUUCGGACUGUAAAGCUCUGUUGUUUAGGACGAAAGUGCCUGUUGCAAAUAGUUACAGGUAUUGACGGUACUGAACGAGGAAGCCACGGAUAACUACGUGCCAGCAGCCGCGGUAAUACGUAGGUGGCAAGCGUUGUCCGGAAUUAUUGGGCGUAAAGAGCAUGUAGGCGGGAAUCUAAGUCUGUUGUGAAAAUGCGGGGCUCAACCCCGUAUUGCGAUGGAAACUGGGUUUCUUGAGUGCAGGAGAGGAAAGGGGAAUUCCCAGUGUAGCGGUGAAAUGCGUAGAUAUUGGGAGGAACACCAGUGGCGAAGGCGCCUUUCUGGACUGUGUCUGACGCUGAGAUGCGAAAGCCAGGGUAGCGAACGGGAUUAGAAACCCGGGUAGUCC
rnacentral:rRNA from 1 species